UACGGGGGGAGCAAGCGUUGUUCGGAUUUACUGGGCGUAAAGGGCGCGUAGGCGGCCACUUCAAGUCGGUUGUGAAAUCUCCGGGCUUAACCCGGAAAGGUCAAUCGAUACUGCAGGGCUAGAGUGCAGAAGGGGCAACUGGAAUUCUCGGUGUAGCGGUGAAAUGCGUAGAUAUCGAGAGGAACACCUGCGGCGAAGGCGGGUUGCUGGGCUGACACUGACGCUGACAGCGCGAAAGCUAGGGGAGCGAACGGG
rnacentral:rRNA from 1 species